GUUGAACGCUGGCGGCAUGCUUUACACAUGCAAGUCGAACGGCAGCACGGGCUUCGGCCUGGUGGCGAGUGGCGAACGGGUGAGUAAUACAUCGGAACGUACCCAGAAGUGGGGGAUAACGCAGCGAAAGCUGCGCUAAUACCGCAUACGUUCUACGGAAGAAAGUGGGGGAUCUUCGGACCUCAUGCUUUUGGAGCGGCCGAUGUCUGAUUAGCUAGUUGGUGGGGUAAAGGCUCACCAAGGCGACGAUCAGUAGCUGGUCUGAGAGGACGACCAGCCACACUGGAACUGAGACACGGUCCAGACUCCUACGGGAGGCAGCAGUGGGGAAUUUUGGACAAUGGGCGAAAGCCUGAUCCAGCAAUGCCGCGUGAGUGAAGAAGGCCUUCGGGUUGUAAAGCUCUUUUGUCAGGGAAGAAACGGCUCCGGCUAAUAUCUGGGGCUAAUGACGGUACCUGAAGAAUAAGCACCGGCUAACUACGUGCCAGCCGCCGCGGUAAAAC
rnacentral:rRNA from 1 species